CAGAGACUGGCCAAUGGCUUGUUGAGCUUCUUAAGCCUCCGCCAUUGGGAUGAUGGCCUUUGCUCAUCUCUGGACAAAUGGGCGUGAUGCUGUGCUGUUUGCUGGUCUCACCUGUUCUCCAUCAGCUCAUCAGAUCAGUACAUCUAUCAAGGCUCCCAGUCACAAGCUGCCAGAUCGUUCUUGUUUACCAUAUGCCCUGUCAGUUCCAGCACAGCUGUCCACCCCACUGCAGAAGUUCUGCUCACAGCUCCUGCUGCCAGUCUCCCCAGCCUCCCUUCAAGCGACCUCACCUUCCCCACCGCUUGCCCUACGCACUUUUCUGGAAGGCUGAUCAAGAAUCAGUAAAGACGACUGUUCCCACAUCAGAACUGUGUCUGUGUCUUGAGUCAGCUUUUGGGGCUCAUUCCAGAGUUUUAGCUCAAUCUUGGCUCUGCCCAC